UACGUAGGGUGCAAGCGUUGUCCGGAAUUAUUGGGCGUAAAGAGCUCGUAGGUGGCCUGUCGCGUCGGCUGUGAAAACUCGGGGCUCAACUCCGAGCUUGCGAGUCGAUACGGGCAGGCUAGAGUUCGGGCAGGGGAGACUGGAAUUCCUGGUGUAGCGGUGAAAUGCGCAGAUAUCAGGAGGAACACCGGUGGCGAAGGCGGGUCUCUGGGCCGAUACUGACACUGAGGAGCGAAAGCGUGGGGAGCGAACAGG
rnacentral:rRNA from 1 species